rnacentral:lncRNA from 1 species
CUGUUACCAAAUAUUUUAUCUGUAUGAGCAGAGAAUUUUACAGACAACUUCAAGUAAUGAGGAUAGUGAUUGUUAUUUGAAUAGGUUCAGGGCUUUUUUAAUCAUGGAAAAAAUAGAGAACUAAAAACAUACUUCAGGAAUUAUAGCAUCAAACCAGUUUCUGGUCUUUUAUGUUAAUGAGAAACUGCAGCUCUCUGUUUGCUGAUCCCUUACUAGACUUAUUCUGAAAGAGAGCAUAAUCUUCUUUGUAAAAGCAAACAUGUUCAGUUUUUGAAAGUAUAGAAAUCUAAGAGAGAUGAGAAGGACAUAAAAAUGGCAGCUCCUAAAAGAGACAAGGUCCAGAG